GUGAACGCUUGCGGUAGGCCUAACACAUGCAAGUCGAACGGCAGCACAGUAAGAGCUUGCUCUUACGGGUGGCGAGUGGCGGACGGGUGAGGAAUACAUCGGAAUCUACUUUUUCGUGGGGGAUAACGUAGGGAAACUUACGCUAAUACCGCAUACGCCCUACGGGUGAAAGCAGGGGAUCUUCGGACCUUGCGCGAUUGAAUGAGCCGAUGUCGGAUUAGCUAGUUGGCGGGGUAAAGGCCCACCAAGGCGACGAUCCGUAGCUGGUCUGAGAGGAUGAUCAGCCACACUGGAACUGAGACACGGUCCAGACUCCUACGGGAGGCAGCAGUGGGGAAUAUUGGACAAUGGGCGCAAGCCUGAUCCAGCCAUACCGCGUGGGUGAAGAAGGCCUUCGGGUUGUAAAGCCCUUUUGUUGGGAAAGAAAAGCAGCAGGUUGAUACCCCGCUGUUCUGACGGUACCCAAAGAAUAAGCACCGGCUAACUUCGUG
rnacentral:rRNA from 1 species